rnacentral:lncRNA from 1 species
CGCAUGGUGGCGCGGUGCGGCGCGGCGCGGCGCGGGCGCGGAGCGUGGGAAGAGCGGGCGGAGCUCUCGGAAGCCAAGUCCGCAGCGUUGCGCCUCCCGCGGGUGGCUGCGCCGCGGGGCCGAGGUUGCUGUGCUGCGCCGGAAGCCACCGGCCGCCCAGAGAAACAGCAAAUGACAGAGCAGAGGACAGCUGGCCCCAGCCAAACCUGUUGCUGCUGCAGUGCUUGUUAUGUCAGGAUAGUGGGGUCUCUGGACCCUUCCCCUCCCUUGCUGAGGCUCCUGGAUGCCCUCCUGCCAGGCUGUACAUUCUGCCUUUAG